UACGUAGGGUGCGAGCGUUAAUCGGAAUUACUGGGCGUAAAGCGUGCGCAGGCGGUUUUGUAAGCCAGGUGUGAAAUCCCCGGGCUCAACCUGGGAAUGGCAUUUGGGACUGCAAGGCUGGAGUGCGGCAGAGGAGACUGGAAUUCCUGGUGUAGCAGUGAAAUGCGUAGAGAUGCGGAGGAACACCGAUGGCGAAGGCAGCCCCCUGGGCUGACACUGACGCUCAGGCACGAAAGCGUGGGGAGCAAACAGG
rnacentral:rRNA from 1 species